GUACUUGCACUUGAGUCCUGUUUGCCUUCACCAAGCAGAAUUCCUCCUCCUGUUAAGAGACCUGACCCCGCAAGUGGCUCUUGGGACACAAAAGCUCUCUCUCUUCUGCAGGUGCAAGUAUCAGAAGAUCAGAACAGUGUCUGCUCUGGUUACUGUCCUCUUUGGAAAGGACUCCAGAACCAACGAACCGUUGGGUCCCCCCAACUGUCCCCGCCCUAAGCGUCAAUGAGUAGAUGAAGAGAUGCUAAUAAAUUCAUUUUCUCUAAGUGGG